rnacentral:rRNA from 1 species
GAUGAGCGCUGGCGGCGUGCCUAAUACAUGCAAGUCGAGCGAACAGAUAAGGAGCUUGCUCCUUUGACGUUAGCGGCGGACGGGUGAGUAACACGUGGAUAACCUACCUAUAAGACUGGGAUAACUUCGGGAAACCGGAGCUAAUACCGGAUAACAUAUUGAACCGCAUGGUUCAAUAGUGAAAGGCGGCUUUGCUGUCACUUAUAGAUGGAUCCGCGCCGUAUUAGCUAGUUGGUAAGGUAACGGCUUACCAAGGCAACGAUACGUAGCCGACCUGAGAGGGUGAUCGGCCACACUGGAACUGAGACACGGUCCAGACUCCUACGGGAGGCAGCAGUAGGGAAUCUUCCGCAAUGGGCGAAAGCCUGACGGAGCAACGCCGCGUGAGUGAUGAAGGUCUUCGGAUCGUAAAACUCUGUUAUCAGGGAAGAACAAAUGUGUAAGUAACUGUGCACAUCUUGACGGUACCUGAUCAGAAAGCCACGGCUAACUACGUG